AAUUAUAACUCAAUUUACAUACCAUUUGUAAAUGAUUUGCCUCAAGGUCCUUACCAAAAAUCACAUUUUACAAGAUAUAAUUUGAUCACAAAAUUAUAAUAAUAAAUGGUAAUAUUUACCUUUCCCUAUUUUUUACUCAACAUGUACAAGUCAAAAGUUUGGACACACUUUUUCAUUGCGUUGAAUGAGAAAGCGUUUCCAAACCUUUUACUGGUGCUGCAGCUUGAACACAUUUUAAUGUAAGAAAAUAAAACAUUCACAUAUUUAACAACAUUGGCGGCUUCAACGCCUGUACUCAACCAGUAGAGUCUGGUACAUGGCAGCUCAUUGUAGCCCGCCUGCACGUGUAUGCGUGCACACUCAGAGGAAAAGACAGAGCGAGGGAGAGAGACUCUCAACGAGCAUCAGUGGCCUCUCACCCUUCACUCAGUAAGACACAUAGAUCCAUCAGAAAUGCAGCUGCUGAAAAAAUGUUCAUAAUACAAAAUGGAAUUCGUCCUUAAGGCUACGGAAAUAAAUAUUUAAAAAACGCUGCUCUGUAAGGAAUACCUACUCAUUGCUUACUGCAUUGCAGGGCGUUAAAUACCAGUUCUUGAUUCAAAAUGUCUUGAAAUUCAAGACUUUCAGGACCAAGCGCUUUUGACUAGCAAACCCCUAGAUGUAUUGAAGUGAAAAUCACAGGUGGUAAGUCCUAGUUAAAUUAAUUAAGGAAGUGUUUACUUUGAAAUUUUAAUUUUAUUUUGAAAUGACGAGGCACGUCCGAAUAUUCCCGGUAGUUGAAUAAUAAUGAAAGUGAAGUCUCUUUGAAACAACAUCAAGCUACAAUGAUUUGCCUAACAUGGGUGAUACGUCAGGAAUGGCGUACGCUGACAGAGGACUGGACUCAUAGAUUGACGCACACUUGCUUACUUGCUGUCCCUUCUCAACACUGUUGCGUGCUGUUAAUUGCAAGCUGGCCCACCUUUACACCAGCUGGUGCCCACUUUAGCUUUUAUGUUGCUCAGCCGCACACUUCUGCACCGUCUUCAUCGCUCCCCGACUCUCUCUCUCUCUCUCUGUCUCUCCACUAGUUUCAUAAAUCUUAACACUUCUUCCUCUAUCCUUAUCUGGCUUUACCCAUCACCCCCCUCUGUAAAUCCUCUACUCUCCCUCCUUUUAUCGACUGACCACUGAGCCAUUAGUAGAUCUCGGGAUGUUUAUGAGACAAGGUGGUUAGAAAGCGCUGAAGAAGAAAAAGGGGUCACUGUAUUGCAAAUAUCUAGAAUGCUGAUAUGUAUUCCCCUCUCUGGGGAAAAAAAAUCUCCUCAGCCAGCCAAAGUGUAUAUUCUUGUUCUUUCUGGUAAGAAGUUAAGGAAUAUGAAUUGGGUGGAUCUAUUUAUAUUACCAUUGCAGAGUACAUGGAGAUGCAAAAAAGAAAGAUGUUUAUCUUUGCCUGGUCAAUAUCACCGUUAUAAACAAGUUCUAUGGAUAAGGAUUCUACCUCUCUUUACUAGUACUGGAACUCAAACAUUGGUUGAAAAUACACCAUCUAUGAUACAUUAUAAACAGUUAAGAUAUUCUCAUGUGGUUUCAAUGUCUUGGCCAUGUUAUCUGGUUACAAGUUGACCAUUAACAAUGUUACAAAUACAUAUUAUAAUUAUCCAAUAACUCUGUCACAGUAGCACUUCCACCAAUUGAUAAUUUGACAAACACGACCAGUCAGAGUGUGAGGUGAUGAAUUAUUUGAUAAUCUAUCGCUGCCUGGAGGCCAAGUGUUAUAGAUGACAAGCAGGAGGAACUCGCAAUUGCGUAUUUCUGCCAUUGUAGGUCCUAUUUUUCCGUCUUUCUCUUCUGAUCAUACAAACCAGUUAGAAAUUUGAAUGUUGUCUUUAUAUCAUGCACAUUUGCACGAUCCAAUAUAAUCUGGCACUAAGCAGUUUCCAAAUUAACUUUCCUCACCUGGCACAAUAUAAUGAGCUGCGGAUCUCUUCUCUGGCAUCAGUGAUGUGUUUGUCUUACUUUGCUAUAACCUGUUUGUUAAGGUCGUCAGUAACCUGCAGUACUUUCAGUCCACAGCAGAGGACUCUGUCCCUGCUAUUUGUUUGACUUUUAUGUCCUGGUGAUAAAGACCAUAUUAGAGAGUAGAUAUAUGAAUGUGAACAGGGAAUGAGCCAAUAGACAUUAUGUGCUAAAAAUGUAAUUUUAAAUUACUACUGAUAUCAUCCAAACUUUUGGCCUCACUAUACGCACUUAAGAGGAAUCUAGCUGACAACAAAAGUGUGACAAAUGGCACAACUUGAGGACAGUGUCAAUAAUCAUUAGGUUUAUGAGAGCAAAGACAAAAAAAAGGUUGCAAUGCUUGAAUUUUCUUUUAAAAGACUUGCACACUGAUAAUUAUCACACAGUCAAGGUUCUAUAGUUAAAUACAACUAACGAUACAGAAUGCUUUGUGGUUAACAUCAUUUGAGGACGUUUUUUAGUAAAGUUUUUAAGUAAAGUCCUUUAAAAUCAAUAAACAGAAAAAAAUAGGGUCUUCAAUUUUGAGAAUGUGCCGGGGGUUUUUAUUUUUAUUUUUUAAACAUUUUCAUGGUUUUUAUGGUCAGCAAAAAUAAAGCCUACAAGUGCAAAAAGCUUUAGUAUAUCACCCAUUGUUGCCUUUGUUGGGGCUGCAGCGCACUAGAAGAUUGCUAAAAAGGAAUCACUGCGAUAUGUGACAGUAACCGACUCUCAUUUGACAGCGGGAAUGUUUUGUGUGGGUUUAAAAAACCUUGGCCACAAAAGCAGAGGGAGGCACGACCUAUUUAUUUUGUCCUACUGUUAGAACGACGUGCUAUGAAUGAAGGGGGUUGGAAAUCGCGUGAUUGUUUAACUAAAUAUUCUCUGAAACUGUUUCACACUGUGAUGAUUAGAACUAUUGUUUAUAUCUCUAUCUAUAUAUAGAUAUGUAGUCUUCUGCUAAAUAUUUCAAAUGCUUCAUGGAAAUAAAGUUACACAUUGUUGGAAACCGUUACCCAACUUUAACCUGAGCCACUUUUGUCGCAGGUGCAAAUCUAAAUCUCUUUUAACUAAACUGCUCUAAACUAAAGAAGGCGCGCAUGUAUGUUCCAUCAGUGAUGAGGCAGAGAGGGACAGUGGUGCACAACUGGGUUGAAAUAGUAGUUUAAGACAUGGCAGGUAAGUACAAAGAGCUGUAAUGUCUGUUUGUGUGAUGCAUUCAAUGUCGAUGACAAAUGUGAAAUACUGAGCUCAAGGGGAUGGAUUGAACAUGAUGUCUUCAAAGGAAGAAGAUGCUGGAGCUGUGAGAGGGUUGUGUAAGGAGACUGGCCUGCUUGUUGGCUUGCACCAAUCCCGCGUGUAUCCAGUACAUACCAUACAUUACCAUUGCUGUGGCCGAGGAAUUAGCGAGGAACAUAUUUAAGAAGAUAUAUAUUCCUGCAACGAAAACGUAUUAUUGGUUACUUCCGUAUCGCCAAACCUUCCUUGAAAACCCAAAAUAUUGUUGUGAAUAAACCAAAUAUUCAUCCGUUGUUCUCACAUUGUUCCAGCUAAAUAAAUGGAAAUUGGAAAUGUUAAUGCCGACACUGUUGAAUUGCACAAAGUAAGCUGUUAUUACCCCACAGAAAUAACCUUCACCAGUGGGCAUUUAGGUUUUUCUAAUUGCUGGUCUCUGAAAAUGUUCCAUUGAAACCACUCUUGACAGCUGGUGACGUUGGUAGCACCAAUAAUGGUCAACGAAAGAAGGUUCCGUUUGGUUGCAUUAUGACUCGGCUCGGUGAAAAUGAGAACUUGGCAAAGGUAAAUAAUCAUGAUUUGUUCAUAUCUAAUUUUGAGUGUAAUGUAAUCUUGAAUAAAUAUAAUAAUUUGAUGAUGUUUCCUCAUUAAUAACAGGUUUUAGGGUUGAUAUUUGAUAUGAUGCCAAGAAUGAGUUUAAUUAAUAGGAACGAUUUGUUUGAGGCAAUAUUAAUAUUUAGAAUGUUAAAAACAGCUCUUUUGAUACAUCAAUGACGACAAGAGCAAUACAUUUUAUUUAAGAAUAAAAGAACUAACUGCCCUUAAUUGGCUACAUAGUCAAUGUUCAUUCUAAAUUUGAUCGAUCUGGUUACAUUUUCACUCUGCUAAUAUUUAGUAUGUUAUUAUUUCAAGGGGGUACACCUUGAGGAUUCCUUCUACUUUGCUGAAACAUCAGAGGCUGUUUCUAGAAGGGCUACACUUUCCACCAGUAUGCGUGCUGGCAAACGCUCCAUCACAGUCACAAAUGCAAUUGUGUGCAAAAAAGGCCAAGGGAAUUUCCUAUUUCCUAUUUAACUUGUAUCUGGGCCUGGCUCCUCAUUGGCGUGGCGUGAUUAAUGAGGCCUCCACGACUCACAAUCACUCGGGUGGCUGCAAAGGGAGAGUGUGUCUAUUUGCGUACAAAUGUGAUGUUCUUCCAAGAAUGGAUAUUCUACUGUAUCAAACAGUAAAGACAGAAUUAUGGUCCUUUUUUUGAAUCUCAUUUCCAUUUAAUAAUAAGCAAAUGAGAUUUGGAUUCCUCAUGUCUGUGGAUCAUCCUCCAUCUCGAGCCAUUCACUGGCAACAAUCGUAGGGUUUACUGGAGACCGUAUUCAUUGGCAGGUUCUUGUCAUUCACAUUCUUGUCCUCAUCAUCGCUCUGCUUCCUUCCUUCUUUUUGCUCCUGGUCAUAAAGGAGGGGGGCGGACUUCAGUAUUUGGCCAACUUUUUGGAUCGCAGGGAGGAAGCCAAAACAAACUGCAACACCAGUUCCUGGUAGGAGGUAAGAAACCGUGCACCAAUAAUGUGCUUAUGGUUUCCAAAUUAAGGGGCUGAAUUUGCUCCUAGCUCUGUUGUGCAUCUGUUUCUUCCGUUUCCCCCUAUCCAUUCCCCCUCCCGUGACACAUUUCUGCCUUUCCUCCACUGGUUUUGAGAAGAGCUGCAAGGAAAGUAGGCUAUUAAAUCAUUGAAUAUAUGAGGCAAGUAGAGUAUAAAGCGCUCAUGUAAAUUAUCCCAAUAUUUGCAUACGGGUUUCACUGCAAAAAGGUCCCGACAACUUCUACAACCCAAUUCCAAUUUCAUCUAGCGGAUAAUUGUCAAUUCAACCGGGAGUGUAAAUUCUAUCAAUACCCGCCAUCAAUCCUCCCUCUCACAGUUACGCUCAUAUUCUAUAUUGCUCGUUUGUUUUCCUGAAUGAAUAGAUCCAGCGAGGAGGAAGAAGCUAACUAUACAUUGUUCAGGUCUGCUUUAUUACAGACUAUAGAAGGCCGGAAAUAAUAUCUUGUGUCCUUGUGUGCUUCCUCAAUUGAUCACAAUGACAAUGGCACAUAGAGCGCACACACCCACACACACACACAAGUAUGCAGCAUGUACACAGGGCCAAAUGGUCCUCAGCUGAUCGAGUGGGGGCCUGACUAUCUGUCUAGACAGCUGACCCUGACAGCUAGAGAAAAAGUGAGGAAGGAGUAGCAGGUGAACGAGUAGGUGAGAAAAGAGGGAUACAAAUCAAGUCAACUACCGUGUCUAUUGGGCCCGUUUAGAUGGGACACACUGGGAUAUGAAGUGUCGGAGGACUCAAUCACGCACACUCACACACACACAUAGAGUAUUGAUGGCAAAAAUAAAUCGCUUUUUAAACAUCAUCAACUUUUACAUGAAGGUCAGAGGCAAGUUCAGCUACAAAAAUCUGGCACAUGCUAGGAAAAUGUCUUUUUGGAUGUUGAGACAUCCGUAAUAGAUUAUUGGACAAAAAGGAACUGGAAACUUCUCUAGGUCAAAAUAUUGUACAUUUGCAUUGUACACCUACUCCAGAUAAAGCAUGAGAAAAGAAACUGAAGGAUAAAAUGAGCUUAACUCUUGAUGAACUCUCAUGAAGAAUAUGACUAAAUUUACUGAUCGGUGAUGACAGCCAGGAUGACAAAUGGGCAUAUACUAAAAUCAUUGGACUUGGAGACACAUUAAGUUAUCAAUAAUUCCAUGCUCUCAUCUCAUCUAAAUUAAAGUUUGCAAUUUUGAAAGUACUUAGCAGAGUCGUCUGGAAUGUUUCUGCCAUCAAUAUCAGAAGAGUGGGACCAAUUGAAAUGAAAGACAGAGACUGACUGGAAUAAAAUGUUGGAGGUAGACGUGUCGAGCAAAGUUCCCAACAACUGCUAAAGAAAAUACAGGGAGCUGCUACAUGUAACCCAAGAGAGAGCCAUGGGGUUAAAAUCACAGUCAAUAAUUCAAUUACCUUGCACUAAUGCACUGUGGUUUAAACACAUUACUGACUCAUUCAACACACUCAGGUGUUGUGGCGAGUGACCCUUUUCUACUUUUCAAAUGGUUUACCCUACAAAUAAAAUGUUCCGUCACGAUAAAAGUAUUUGAUAAAUUGAUCACCAGCUCUUGAAAGAAUAUCAUUCAUGAAGCAUCAUAAUAAAUAUUGUAGAAGUGGGCGUGGUCUGUGCUCAGGUGCAGGAGUGUUUCAUUAGAACAGGCCCAUGAUCAGUUUAAUUGGCACAGAUGCCAAGCAGACUGGAGGCCUGCUGAGAGAGAAUCAGGCCGGGUAGAGAGUCGGCGUCCGGCGGACUCUGACCCCGAGAGGCCCGGCAGCGCGUAGGAGCGCAUAACAGUCCACGUUUUGUGUUUAAGUUAAAAAAAAUGAAAACCCUUUUGUUAAACAAUACCCAAGUAUUUGUGUGUGUUUAGGUGGAUCCACAGGGCCCAGCGCGACGGCACAAAUAUAUUAAAAAUCUAAAAAUGCAGGCACUGAAAAACAAUCAUCAUCUAAAUAGUAGAGCAAGAAGAAUAAAAUUACCCCAAAGAGUAUUUUGGAGGGGAGAGAAAGACAACAACUUUUGAAGAACAAGUUAACAAACAAACGAGUUACAAAUACAUCAUCGAAAACACACACCCAAUGACACACACACACACACACACACACACACUGCAAACAAACACACACAGCGCCAUGGGCUUUAAAGCCACAAACAGCAGGAACUUAAUUGAAGCAAGCAGGAAGCAAAGAAUGUCCCGAGCACAACAAAUGCUUCUUUUUGCCACCGAGGUAGUUAGACAGCCUUCUGAACCAAUGGGUCAUCGUCACCAAACACAUGCAGGAACAUUUUGUUUAUUUCUGGUUUAUUGCCGCAAACUCUAUUUUACAGGAUUAUCUUCGAGCACAACACAUUGGCUCUAAUGAACUUCCACACCAACAGGUCUAUUUGUAAAUGACACGUGUGCCGAUGUGAGUCAUCUAUUGGAAUGCCCGUGUGUGUCAACGUGACCGCCAAACAUAUUUUUAAAAAGGAUUGGAAAGAGACUGAGCAUAUUUAUUGUGGAUCAGCUGAAAACUCAUCAGGGCAUGUCUAGUUUUUAUUUUGUUUUGUAGAUCGUGUUUGAUCGUAAUUCUUGAUCGUAUUUGUGCCUAAAAAUGGUGAUAUACAUUUACUAAUUUGUUUGACCAGCUGUAUAUUCUUACAUCUUCACAAUCAUCAUUUCUGAGGUCCAUCAUCAAAAUAAAGCCCCUUAAAUGGUUUGAUUAAAAUCAAGGUGAUGAAGAAAUGAAGUCAUGAAGAAAUGCAAGAAUAUAUACAAAUAUUCUGUCUCACCCAACAGGCCGGCUUCCCCUGUUUACUGUGCACUGUCGCAAAAGAAAUCUCCCAAAUUUCAAUGUCCUUUCAUUUUCAAGAUGUAUUUCAUCAGAUAUCACCGCUCUUGGUCUCCCUCUCCUUUGUCCUCCACACACUCUCCCUCAUAUCACUGCUCUUUCCCCACCAAUCUGUCUUCUGUGAUGCAUAUCUCCAAACAAAAUCAGAUCCAAGCUAUCGCCUGAAACAUGGUAAUGAGAGUAAAGCAGGACACCUUGGUCGGCUUUGAGCUGAAAUUACAAUUAGCUUGGACUGAUAAUUCUUUGAUUUUCUGCUAAGAUUUUCUAAAUUUAAAAAAUAAUUACUGCUGAAUUGUUUGAAAUCAUCAAUCACUCUGAUUUGAAUGUGCUUUUAUCCGUUUUUGAAGCAGUGUGUUAGUAUAUGAAAAAUGUCCUGCAAAUAUACAGUUUUUUGCAGUUUGUGGAGUAUGACUGCAUUUUGUCUGAAAGCAAUGAGAAAUGAUUCACAGUCUGGUUCGAAUACACUUGUGUGUCGCUGAAUGUGUGAAGAGUUUUGAAAAUGUGGUUUGAGUAUUGAACAAUAAAACAAGAACAAGCAAUUGAAAAAAAUCUGUAAUAUUUCGGCGUAAUUUGGCCUGUGUACCUCCGCACACCGCCGCCCCCUAACCGAUUACAACCAUCUUCAGCAUCAACAGAAGCAAUAUGAGCUCAACCUCUGCCCGCCUCUGUGUGUCUCUUUGAUUCAUGCAAAAACACCUCGUCAGUCAGACCAAUGAGAGGGUGAGAACAAAGUUGUGCUUGAUUCAAACGCAUUAAAUGAUCUGGAACCCUUAAGCUUUAAAACAACCUUCAACCACGAUCAGAAAAUGAGAAAUUUGACAUUUCUAUAAAUUUCAUUAUUUGAUUAAUCUCGUACUCAGCCAUAAUUCAUAAGGUACCACUGCCUGUGGCAAUUCAUCAUAAAUUAAUCAAUAAAGACUUCAAUUGUAAUUACAAGCCCCAGACAACACUGCAAAUAAGCCUGCUUUAACGUAUUGAACAUAACAAAUAUCUGUGCUCUCUUUCGUUAAUAAUGGCCUUCACAGACAAUUUAUCAACCCAGAUCCAUAGUCGCCUCUUUCACACACAACACAUAAAACUAAAAAGUCAAAAUAAAAAAAUUGUGCGCUACGAGUAUAAAUUAAUGAGGCGACUGCAUGCAUACUAAUGACCUGCUCGUUGCUGUCUUUUAGUCCUGAAGGUUGCUGCAGCACCACAACGACAGGCUCACAAACACUGAUUUGAGAGCACGGCCACUGGCUUACUAUUUCAUACCAGUAAAUAAAAUAUUGACUUUGGUCCUGCAGUCAUCAAUCAUUUACACGUUUUUUGAAUGAAUGAUUGACUGAACCCAACUUUCAGCUGGAAUGUAUUAAUCUAUUGCCUGAACAGGUGGGCUCCACAACAAACAGCAACUGUAUGUACCAGCAUCGCCUCACCCUGCAGAAAAAGUUUUCGCCAAAGACGAGUGGCAAACUAAGCAAAACUUUUAGACUAUGGACUUUCAGGUUUCAGGUUGUUCCUUAGACCGGCGAGCUGGUUUGUGCUGGGCGAAGCACAGCGUCGAUAGAUGAGAAGCUGCAGUCAGAGCAGCUUGAAUUAUUGCUUUUGUUUGUCGCUGUUGAACAGGUGUAUUGAUAAAGAAGUAGGCAUCUUACUUGUAACUGUUUUAUUGUACCUACUACAGCAACAAGUGUAGCUGGAGCAUCUUUGGCCAACCGUAUCAGUCGUCUUUGCAAAUAAUGCUACCAGUGACAGAGCGAGGAAGAGGACGUAACUUCGCUUCAUGACCAGCGUCUCUCACAGAUGUGCUCCUCACAAUUUGUGUUGAAGUGUAAAAAAAAGAAAGAAAAGAAAACAACUUUACACACGGAGCAUCUUGUUGCUGCCAUGGGCCUUUAGCCCAGGUGAGCAGUUAAAUUAUAAAGACAGGGCUGGGGCAAGACGACAACAAUGAAACAAGACAUCUUAUUUUUCUUUCUUUGCUGUUAUUUUCUGAUGAGAUGAAGAAAAAAAGAAUUGGGAUUCCGAAUCAUUUUCAUUUUCAUUUUGUUGAUGCUCGUUUACCACUGGAUUUUAUUACCAAUCACUGUGGGCAGGGCACUGGUGAAAAUCAGAAAGAUGCUGAUGUGUUCUGUUGUUUUAACCCAAAAGACAGUUUCAGAUUCUUGACACAAAACAUUUGGAGGCUUCUUGAAGCAAAUGCUCAUUAAAGCGAUUUACUCUUUGGUUUUGUGACCAACAGAUGUCUCCAUGGCAGGCAUCACAAAUAAACAACGCCUUACAUACAUCUCAGUAUGUAUAACGCGGUGCACAUGUUUUGGACAUUUGUCACACAGGGAAAUUGUCAUUUUGCCCAACGAUGUAAAUUGGACAUUUCAUCUUCUGCUACGUUCAUUUAUUUUUAUUUCUGAGGAAUCAAGAGUAGCCAGCGGCCUCGAUGUGUCCAAGCUUCAUCGUCUAAAGAUGUCUUAAGUACCAAAACCUCUCCCUAAUGCUGCACCAACA
ensembl:lncRNA